AGUGCUUUUAUUGUGAAGCGGUGACAGGAAGUGCGGUUGUAUUCGGUUUUGCCGGAAGUGGAAGAAGCAGCAGCGAAGUUUCCGGGAAACAGACAAUAAACAGGCAAAGUGGUAGCCACGUAUCGAUUAUUGUUUGCUGAGUAUCAGUUGAUCGUCGGUCAGCUCGGGGCAGUAACCGUAAACACCUUUUUACGGACCCGGAUCGGAACAGAUGGGGGCGCACCGCAGUGACGGAGGCCGGGACUGGCUGCAGCAGGACGGGCCGGAGCAGCCGGACCACCCGGAGCAGAGCCCGAAGCCGUGGAACUUGAUGAUCAAACACAGACAGAUCCAAAGACGAGGACGGCGCUCUCACAUGAUGGUCAGCUACACGGACCCUCAGGUGUCCAUGGACCUGCUGCGUGCCGUGCUCCAGCCCAGCUUCAACCAAGACAUCAUGGCCGUGUUCAGUAAAUAUCAGAAGUUCUUUGAGAAGGCGGCAGAGAAUGUGAAGGAGAACGUUGGAGACGACAUUCAGACUGAUCACCUGAUCAAGGAGGCGUGCAGGAACGUCCUCGAACACGCCAAGCAGCUGUUUCCGGAGGCUGAGGUGAAGAGGGCGGUACCAGAGGCAAUGAUGAAGAGGCAACGAGUUGCUGAUGACGACUGCAGCCAGAGAGGAAGCCCGCUGCACAAGAAGAGAAAGAUGCGUCCAGGUCCCGUGGCCUCAUCUGAUCGACCUCUGACCUUCUCUGUGGUGAAGCCCAAGUCUGAGCCCAUCAAGAAGGAGGGGCCCAAGUGGGAUCCGUCCAGACUCAGCGACAGCAGCACGUUCGUGCUCGGGUCAAGAGCCAACAAGGCGCUCGGAAUGGGUGGGACCAGAGGACGAAUCUACAUCAAACACGCCGACCUGUUCAAGGUAAAAUGCUGCAUGACGGGUUAUAUGCUAACUCACUUCCUGUGUCUUGCUCAGGCCUACCUGCUGAUAGAGGAGGACAUCCAAGAUCUGUCCCGCAGCGAUGAGUACCGGGACUGUCCGGACGUCAGGAUGGACGAGCUGAAGCCGUUCUCGGUUCCUCAGUGGAUGGUGGAGAAGAUGCAGAGAGCCAUGGAAGCUCAGAGAGACGCUGACCCCUGACCCUCACGCCCCUGGCACCCCCGUACAUCUGUAGUAACCACAGAUUAAAUAAUAGAUGGCCGUAUCAGAGUGCAGGACGGCGAUCAUGUGACCAGUUGUUUUUAUUUGUACUGUUUUUAAAAAUUAAAAAAUGUUUGUGAGUCUUUGA